UACGUAGGGUGCAAGCGUUAAUCGGAAUUACUGGGCGUAAAGCGUGCGCAGGCGGUUAUAUAAGACAGAUGUGAAAUCCCCGGGCUCAACCUGGGAACUGCAUUUGUGACUGUAUAGCUAGAGUACGGCAGAGGGGGAUGGAAUUCCGCGUGUAGCAGUGAAAUGCGUAGAGAUCUGGAGGAAUACCGAUGGCGAAGGCAAUCCCCUGGGCCUGCACUGACGCUCAUGCACGAAAGCGUGGGGAGCAAACAGG
rnacentral:rRNA from 1 species